CCUACGGGAGGCAGCAGUGGGGAAUAUUGCACAAUGGGGGAAACCCUGAUGCAGCGACGUCGCGUGAGUGAGGAAGUACCUCGGUAUGUUAAGCUCCAUCAGCAGGGAAGAAAAUGACGGUACCUGACUCAGAUGCCCCGGCUAACUACGUGCCAGCAGCCGCGGCUAUAUGUAGGGGGCCAGCGUUAUCCGGAUUUACUGGGUGUAAAGGGAGCGUAGACGGUUAAUCAAGUCAGAAGUGAAAACCCAGGGCUCAACCUUGGGACUGCUUUUGAAACUGAGUAGCUAGAGUGCAGGAGAGGUAGGCGGAAUGCCUGGUGUAGCGGUGAAAUGCGUAGAUAUUAGGAAGAACACCAGUGGCGAAGGCAGCUUACUGGACUGUAACUGACGUUGAGGCUCGAAAGUGUGGGUAGCAAACAGGAUUAGAUACCCUUGUAGUC
rnacentral:rRNA from 1 species